CAAAAACAUCGCCUCUUGAUCCACCCCUAAGAGGUCCAGCCUGCCCAGUGACAUUGUUCAACGGCCGCGGUAUCCUAACCGUGCGAAGGUAGCGUAAUCACUUGUCCUUUAAAUGAGGACUGGUAUGAAUGGCCACACGAAAGCUAUACUGUCUCCUUUUUCUAAUCAGUUAAACUAAUCUUCCCGUGAAGAAGCGGGAAUAUACCUAUAAGACGAGAAGACCCUAUGGAGCUUCAAACGACCGAGACACCUGAUUUAACCUUUUUAUACACUUAAUUAUUCUUCCCUGUCUCUAGUUUUAGGUUGGGGUGACCACGGAGCAAAACCUAACCUCCAUGACGAAUGUAUCUUUCUAUUCUUAGCUAAAAGCCACACCUUUAUGCACCAAUAAACUGUCUCUUAUUGACCCAAUAAUUUGAUCAACGAACCAAGUUACCCUAGGGAUUACAGCGCAAUCCACUUCAAGAGCUCUUAUCGACAAGUGGGCUUACGACCUCGAUGUUGGAUCAGGGUAUCCCAGUGGUGCAGCCGCUACUAACGGUUCG
rnacentral:rRNA from 1 species